ensembl:ncRNA lncRNA:CR44418 long non-coding RNA:CR44418
UCACAGGACAGCAUAUUUAAGCUCAGUUGGCUUACACAAAAUAAAUAAAUGUGAUUUGUCAUUUUGCAAAACAUGAAAUGGCAGCAGUUGGAACAGGACGAGUAAACUGUUCGGGAGAGAGCAUUAAAUUGCAGUCAAAUGGCACGCUGUGUGCAUUCCAAAUGCCAAGGAUCCAGAACAUCCUGCUGCAGGACGAGGGAGGGCGAGGAUGUAUUAAAUUAUUCGAGCGUGCAGCAACCAGACGGAGAUACUUUCGUAUGCAACACUGAGCAGUCCGUCCAAGUCCAAGUCCACAUACACACACUCGCCUGUUUGCCAUGCGACUUUUGCCAGAUCAAAUAAAUGUUGUCUCAUGCACGAGGACCAAACCAGCGAACCUUGGACAGGAGGCUAAGCUGCAGAAUGCCUCCUCAUCAGGAAAUCAGCUUCAGCAUCAGCAUAAGCAUCAGAAUCAGCAUCUCAAUCUGGCAGCAAGUCUGGGCCAACUUAAGAGCCAUAUAAAAUUCAUUUGGCCGAGCAGCACAGCAACGAGCUGCAAAUGAAAUGGCGAAACAAGCGUGUUGAAGCCACCUGUCAGUCCAGUCCAGUCCGUCCAGUCCUGCCAGGUGACACAGGAAGUGGGUCAGUCGGAGAUUCGGAUGGGAAAUCUACCUCACAUUGACCUUCAAUUGCUAUGAAGUUGUGCAAGUCAACAAGGAGUUGACUUCGGGCAAAUAUUCAAAUAUGAUAAAAUUUAAUUUGAAGUCACUUU